rnacentral:rRNA from 1 species
GACGAACGCUGGCGGCGUGCCUAAUACAUGCAAGUCGAACGCUUCUUUUCCACCGGAGCUUGCUCCACCGGAAAAAGAGGAGUGGCGAACGGGUGAGUAACACGUGGGUAACCUGCCCAUCAGAAGGGGAUAACACUUGGAAACAGGUGCUAAUACCGUAUAACAAUCAAAACCGCAUGGUUUUGAUUUGAAAGGCGCUUUCGGGUGUCGCUGAUGGAUGGACCCGCGGUGCAUUAGCUAGUUGGUGAGGUAACGGCUCACCAAGGCCACGAUGCAUAGCCGACCUGAGAGGGUGAUCGGCCACAUUGGGACUGAGACACGGCCCAAACUCCUACGGGAGGCAGCAGUAGGGAAUCUUCGGCAAUGGACGAAAGUCUGACCGAGCAACGCCGCGUGAGUGAAGAAGGUUUUCGGAUCGUAAAACUCUGUUGUUAGAGAAGAACAAGGAUGAGAGUAACUGUUCAUCCCUUGACGGUAUCUAACCAGAAAGCCACGGCUAACUACGUGCCAGCAGCCGCGGUAAUACGUANGUGGCAAGCGUUGUCCGGAUUUAUUGGGCGUAAAGCGAGCGCAGGCGGUUUCUUAAGUCUGAUGUGAAAGC